rnacentral:rRNA from 1 species
UGGGGAAUAUUGCACAAUGGGCGAAAGCCUGAUGCAGCGACGCCGCGUGAGGGAUGACGGCCUUCGGGUUGUAAACCUCUUUCAGUAGGGACGAAGCGCAAGUGACGGUACCUGCAGAAGAAGCACCGGCUAACUACGUGCCAGCAGCCGCGGUAAUACGUAGGGUGCGAGCGUUGUUCGGAAUUACUGGGCGUAAAGAGCUCGUAGGCGGUUUGUCACGUCGUCUGUGAAAUCCUAGGGCUUAACCCUGGACGUGCAGGCGAUACGGGCUGACUUGAGUACUACAGGGGAGACUGGAAUUUCUGGUGUAGCGGUGGAAUGCACAGAUAUCAGGAAGAACACCGAUGGCGAAGGCAGGUCUCUGGGUAGUAACUGACGCUGAGGAGCGAAAGCAUGGGUAGCGAACAGG